rnacentral:tRNA from 1 species
UGGGGUGAUAGCUCAACUGGUUAGAGCAUCCGCCUGUCACGCGGAAGGUUGAGGGUUCGAAUCCCUUUCAUCCCGU